rnacentral:lncRNA from 1 species
UUUGCCCAUUCGGAAAUGACGAACAGGAAGCCCAGCAGCUCACUCACCUUCUGGAAAGGAUUUUGUUUUGCCCCUGAAAUGAAUAUCUAAACCAGCACCAAAAAGGGAGGAAAAAACAAGUUAUUGGAGAGACCAGUUCUCACUCUAAUGUCCAUCAGGGUGAGGCCUGUUGUGUAGUGCCGGCAUCCAAAGAAAGUUCUCUUCUCCCCCACCAGAUGGAAGCAGCGGAAUCUAUCAGCAUCAACAAGGCUUCUAACGGCAAUCAUAUCCCCUCCAGCAUCCAUCUCCUUAACUACAAUUCUUGUGAUUUCCUCAAAUACGCUGAACAUUGCGCCUGGACCAACUCAGAAACAGAAGCCAAUUUCAGUUUUUGGGAGGAGGGUAUUGGUUCAAGUAUUUAAAUCUUCCACAUUUGGCAGCCUGAGGUGUCAGGCCUCUGAACCCAAGCUAAGCCAUCAUAUUCCCUGUGACCUGCAUGUAUAUAUCCAGAUGGCCUGAAGCAACUGAAGAUCCACAAAAGAAAUGAAAAUAGCCUUAACUGAUGACAUUCCACCAUUGUGAUUUGUUCCUGCCCCACCCUAACUGAUACGAUAUAGUCUCCCCCCGCCCUUAAGAAGGUACUUUGUAAUAUUCUCCCCUGCCCUUAAGAAGGUACUUUGUAAUAUUUCUCCACCCUUGACAAUGUACUUUGUAAGCCUAUCCCAAACAUAUAAGAACUAAUGAUAAUCCCACCACCCUUUGCUGACCCCUUUUUUGGACUCAGCUUGCCUGUACCCAGCCUUGUU